AACGAACGCUGGCGGCAGGCCUAACACAUGCAAGUCGAGCGAAGCCUUCGGGCUUAGCGGCGGACGGGUGAGUAACGCGUGGGAACGUGCCCUUUGGUACGGAAUAGCCCCGGGAAACUGGGAGUAAUACCGUAUGUGGUCGAGAGACGAAAGAUUUAUCGCCAAAGGAUCGGCCCGCGUUGGAUUAGGUAGUUGGUGGGGUAAUUGCCUACCAAGCCGAAGAUCCAUAGCUGGUUUGAGAGGAUGAGCAGCCACACUGGGACUGAGACACGGCCCAGACUCCUACGGGAGGCAGCAGUGGGGAAUCUUAGACAAUGGGGGAAACCCUGAUCUAGCCAUGCCGCGUGCUCGAUGAAGGCCUUAGGGUUGUAAAGAUCUUUCAGUGGGGAAGAUAAUGACUGUACCCACAGAAGAAGCCCCGGCUAACUCCGUGCCAGCCGCCGCCGUAAUAC
rnacentral:rRNA from 1 species